GAGAUUACAAGCGUGAAGACGUUUUGCUUAGUGAAUUUUGUAAAAUGUUUCGGAAGAGUUGCUCAAAAGCUUAUUUAAGUUGACGAAUCCUAAAGCUUCCGAAGGCCUAUUUGAUAAUAAAUACCAGAGGUUUCUGUGUGACAGCCUUAUGGAGACGGUUGAGCCAGUUUAAUCAGUGGACUUACUUUCCCAAAACAUAAAGUCAAGCACCACCUUAAACUAAGUCGAAUAGCUUUAGAUUUCAUCAGAAUAUCAAACAAAUAUUUUUGU